ensembl:lncRNA
GAAUGGGCAUUUAUUGCAAUUAUGAACUAAUGUAUGUUUCAGAGUAAUGGAGGCUACUUUCAGAUUCCAAGGUGUCAUGAUCAGUUCUGAUGUUCCCUUUAGAGCCCAGCAGUGACUGGUCAUGUUCACAUGUUCCCUUUCGAGCCCAGCAGUGACUGGUCAUGUUCAUAUUUUCCCUUUAGAGGGUAGCUUUCUCCCGUGACGGUUCAGGUUCACAUGUUCCCUUUGGAGGCUAGCUUUCUGCCGUGACGGUUCAUGUUCAUAUUUGUAAUAGCUGUAAUUGUUUUGAAUGGAACUCUGCCUUGAAGCAACCCAUGUGCACAGUAUCCGCAACAGUGUGACGAACGGCAAUAACACAAAACAC